UGACAGGUGUCUCUCCAUGUGGCCAACAAAAUGCCCAAAUACAGAUGAGCGGCACGAAACCACUUACUUUUUAAGGAAAGCCGACAAUGCCUUCACGAAGUCCUGCUGGUUGACGUCCUUCACCGUGACAGCUGGCAUCUGAAGCGUAAAAGUAAAGGUUAAACCAGAACUUCCUCAAACACCUGAACCACAAAACACGAGACGGUCGCGGGUCUGCUCUGCGCACACGUCUGAAAAACCACACGUCGGCAAGACUCGUGACAACGUUCCCACCACAGCCUUGCUGGAGUGGACCUCAAAGUGUUGAUUAUUUCCUACAAAGAUAUCUGUAUUAAAAGAGGCGUCACUCAUGUACAUACCAUACUCUACAGUGUGUGCGUUCACUUGGUGUUUGGACCUGGUUCUGGCACGCUGGUUAGCGGAACAUUCUGGAUCCGCCCGCGUGCAUCAUUGUCCCUGAGACCCUUAACCUGUGAUGAUGUAAAGGUCACAGGUGAGGUCCUUGGGAACAAGGCUGCGUGUGAAACCCGUCUGAAAGCAGAUCUUAUUAGAGGACAGAAAGUGACACGUGACACAGAGGCUGUGUCCGCUACCCUUUAAUAACCGAUAGGUCUUAAAAUAUCAAGUCACGUAUAUAUAUAAAGCGUCUCAAGUUUUCUUCUGUGCGGCGUGCGCUCCAGGCAGGACGGUGAAAGAUGAGGGACUUGAACAAGAGCAUGUUGAUUGUCUGUGUUUAUACAAUAGGGACAGGGCUCUUUGAAUUUUACACUUCAUCAAAUGCCAAUGACACUAUAGCUAUAGCUGGAGGGGGCAGUUCCUGUCAGCUGGCUUUGUGGUCCUAAAUGUGACGAGUUUAAUGAGAAGUCAGCCAAAGGUUGUGACCCCGAUGUAGAUUGCAACUGGAUUCAUGUAGGUGCCUUAUUUAUUUUAUGUGAUAUUUUAAUAAAUAUUUUAAUAAAUGAAUGAAGAUUUAUAUUAAUAUAAAUGUUUUGUCUAAUUUGAUCCAUUUCAUAUUGAUAUAUUGCCCAAUAAUAGGAUAAAAUGGACAUGUUUGAAUGCAUCUGUUGAAAUAUAACUGUUAAGGUGUGUUACAAAGGUGUGUUAAUAAACAAAUGAAUAUUAAAACGGUUUAUACAUUUAGAAAUACAAAUACAAAAUUGGAUAAAAUGUGUUUGUUUUAUUCAUGACAAAUUACUUAUUUACUUAUUAAUAAACCACACAACCACACCUUUUAUACCCAUGAAUACAAAUAAUAAUAAAACAUAUUAUUACUACAAGCACUGUGUUAUCAUUGCAGAACAGUCAGUCUACAUUUGUGUAUAAACCAUGAGUAGCAUAAUGUGGUGCUGGCUGCGGCUCAGUGUCCCCCUGCUAUCCGCCUCCAUGUGUUUGUUCAUCCCAGGACAGUUGACAUCGAUUGUGCAGGAAGCAGACUGAGACACAUUAGUACCCAGCUCACCCCUGUCGCUGAAAAACACAUUAACCGGCUGCAUCGGCAGUCCUGUCUGGUAACCAUGGCGAAGAGCACAAGGAGGGAGUGGAGGAGGGGUGAUGGGCUGAUCUGGGGCAGCGGGUUCAGAGCUCCGUGUCUCAGAGGGGCUGUUGCUCAGACACUCUGUUCCUUUCCUCCGGCCACGUCUGCCAUUCUCCUUCUGCCUCACUCUUUCACUCUCGCUCUCCCUCUCUCUUCAAACUACCCCUUGUUCAUUUUUAAAUUUCUCACUUGCUGUUCUACUAUUUACUUAUUUACUUACUUAUACAAUGAAAGUUGCAUAUUUCCU